CUUCGCUGUACGAGUAGGAGCCCGAGCGGAUGGUGCCGGCGCUGUAGGUCCCAUCGCCGCCCUCCACGUACUGCACCGGCCCCCCCGUGUAGACGUGUUGCACCGGGACCUGCUGCAGCUGCUGCACCUCCUGCCCCACGCUGUGCACCUGCAGGGGGGGCCCAGGGCCCGGCUUGGCUGCACCGCUGCUGCUCUGCACCGGGGAGCGCUGCGGCCCCCCCUGUGCGCUCCCGGGG
rnacentral:lncRNA from 1 species